CCUACGUGAGUUGGGAGAACAGAAACGAGUUUCUGGCCAAUUAGAAUUUAUAAUGCUUUAAUCUAGAAUCAGCGGGUGCAGGAUGUGAAGGGGGAGAGGAAGAUAUAUGUUUUUGGGCUACGAAGUGAGAGGACGCAGAAAAGUGAGCUGAGGCCAACGAGUUCAUUUUACGAGUUAGUGUACAUAUCGGAGACUUAAUACAGCUAAUUUAAGCUGCUGGCCCGAAUGUUACUAAUGCAGCUAGCACAGCCACAUCUGGAAGAACCGCUUGCUCGUCGUCGCCUCGUCCACCCUGCAUCACCGCUCGUGAGAAGCCUGCAUGGAUCUCCUGCUCCCUCAACGGCCUGUCCUUUUCCCCUGCUACAUCGUCAUCCACUGAGGACGGUAACCGCAAAUGCAGAGCGAGUGCAAAAAAAAGCUUACCUCUCUGGAAACUUUGGAGGGAAAUAUGGAUUGCUCAGGAGGAGGCUGUUGGCUGAUGACAUCAGAGGACAAUGAUUGGUUAAUAGGAAGGUUGUUCCUGGAAUAUCCUACUUCAAAAUCUCGUUGUGCCUGUCCAUUCAGACUGUUACAUCU